rnacentral:lncRNA from 1 species
CGUCCCUGGAGGUGUUGAAGAACUGUGGAGAUGUGGCAAGGAAUGAGGAGUGCCUGGCUACUUUUCCAGUCAAUAUCUACUGCUCUACACAGCAUCCAGGAGAAUUUGCAGUAUAGAUUGGCCUUACAGAAGCAACAUAGCCAUCAUUAUGUGUGUGCGUAAAUCCCUGAAGGAUUCAUAAUCAUUUCCAUUUGUUGAUUGGAUGGCAUCCAUUUGGUUAAUCAUCAUUCAAGUGCAGGGAGACCAUGUAGCAUGUGAAAGCUGUAUUUGAGACAGCAAAACUGCCAGAAACAUCCAAGUAUGUAACCUGACUAUCCACUUAUAUUAACAAAUGAUGAUGGUUAGAGUUUGAGAUGGUGGAAAAAUGAAAUGUAGUCCCAAUAUUUAACCAGUAACACCUUCUAAAAUGAACUACACUCCCAUAUUUCAUGUUAAUUUGUGUCCCAGUUCUUUCUUUUUGCUCUCAGCUUUUGUGCUAUGGAAUGAUUGUGCUGUUGUGCCACACCUGCAUAGAUAAAAAC